rnacentral:rRNA from 1 species
AGUGAACGCUGGCGGUAGGCCUAACACAUGCAAGUCGAACGGCAGCACAGUAAGAGCUUGCUCUUACGGGUGGCGAGUGGCGGACGGGUGAGGAAUACAUCGGAAUCUACUUUUUCGUGGGGGAUAACGUAGGGAAACUUACGCUAAUACCGCAUACGACCUACGGGUGAAAGCAGGGGAUCUUCGGACCUUGCGCGAUUGAAUGAGCCGAUGUCGGAUUAGCUAGUUGGCGGGGUAAAGGCCCACCAAGGCGACGAUCCGUAGCUGGUCUGAGAGGAUGAUCAGCCACACUGGGACUGAGACACGGUCCAGACUCCUACGGGAGGCAGCAGUGGGGAAUAUUGGACAAUGGGCGCAAGCCUGAUCCAGCCAUACCGCGUGGGUGAAGAAGGCCUUCGGGUUGUAAAGCCCUUUUGUUGGGAAAGAAAAGCAGCAGGUUAAUACCCCGCUGUUCUGACGGUACCCAAAGAAUAGCACCGGCUAACUUCGUG